GGAAGCAGGGGAUCGUAAGACCUUAUGCUUUUGGAGUGGCCGAUGUCUGAUUAGCUAGUUGGUGGGGUAAGGGCCUACCAAGGCGACGAUCAGUAGUUGGUCUGAGAGGACGGCCAGCCACACUGGGACUGAGACACGGCCCAGACUCCUACGGGAGGCAGCAGUGGGGAAUUUUGGACAAUGGGCGAAAGCCUGAUCCAGCAAUGCCGCGUGAGUGAAGAAGGCCUUCGGGUUGUAAAGCUCUUUCAGUUGGGAAGAAAAGAUUGUGAUGAAUAAUCGCAAUUUAUGACGGUACCGAAAGAAGAAGCACCGGCUAACUACGUGCCAGCAGCCGCGGUAAUACGUAGGGUGCCAGCGUUAAUCGGAAUUACUGGGCGUAAAGGGUGCGCAGGCGGUUCUGUAAGUCAGAUGUGAAAUCCCCGGGCUUAACCUGGGAACUGCGUUUGAAACUACAAAGCUAGA
rnacentral:rRNA from 1 species